UACGUAGGCAGCAAGCGUUGUUCGGAAUUACUGGGCGUAAAGGGCGCGUAGGCGGCCACCGCAAGUCGACUGUGAAAUCUCCGGGCUUAACCCGGAACGGUCAGCCGAUACUGCGGGGCUAGAGUGCAGAAGGGGCAACUGGAAUUCUCGGUGUAGCGGUGAAAUGCGUAGAUAUCGAGAGGAACACCUGCGGCGAAGGCGGGUUGCUGGGCUGACACUGACGCUGAUGCGCGAAAGCUAGGGGAGCGAACGGG
rnacentral:rRNA from 1 species